CGCAAGGGAAGCGUGUACCUGGGGAGUACACUGGGGAGUGGUACUGGGGCGCUGACCCGCGCGGACGCCGCGCAUCUCCCUAGGGUGCGCGCAGCACGUCCACGAGAAGCGCACUCUGAAGCCAGCCGGGACGCGUUCGGCGGUCGGGGUGGAGGAGGGAAGUGCAGGCUGAGCCCCUCACCCGUGCGAAGCCAGCUGGGCGCCCACUCGCGGGCUGCGGGCACUGCGCGCCUGUCCAGCUGCUGGGCCAGGCCCCCUCCCCUCCCCCUCAAUCUGGCAGGCCAGAUCUCCGAGGCCCCGCGCCUCGUCGCGCUCCGGAGGCUCCGGGCGGUCUCCUGGGAGCCUGGGAGCCCGCCCCUCCUGAAUGUUCCCUCUGACGUAUCUGCAAAAGCAAACACUGGGCCUAGGCCGCGGGGGACCGGGCGUUGGAGGAAACAGCUCAAUGCCCGGCGGGCCACGCCACUAACAGCCCUGACUCCCGGGCGCUGCAUUCGCUCCACGCCUCUGGUUCUUUGCCCGACGGCGCUGUGGGCCCCGAGGGCGACUCGCCGCCCUUCCACAUUGCGCGCGGGUGGCUCCUUGAGUACCGGCGGCGCACCACAAUCCCUACUCUCAAGAUAUGGGCUCCAGUCCCGGCUCCUUGGAGUCCUCCCUGGAACCUCGGAUAAGCCCCAACUUCUCCCAGCCCGUCACUUCCUUUGGUGGUAUAGUGUGUCAAGAUAUCACAAGUCUGGAUUCCAAUCCAUCCCUGGCCAGUUAUGGCCACGUGACCUAAGACAGAUUAGAUCAUCUCUGUGUGCUUCAGUUCCUCUUCUGUAAAAUGGGGAUAAUAUUCCUCCCUAUAUGGCGAUGUUGUAAGGCAUAAAUGAAUGUAAAACACCAUAGUGCUAGGCAUAUAAUAAAUAUCGUAUAAGUAUUUUAUAUUAUCAAUAAAGUAGGUAUUACAAUGUUUACCUUACAGCUUUUUAUUUUAUUUUUUUUAAUAGUAGAGACGGGGUUUCACCAUAUUGGUUAAGCUGGUCUGAAGCUCCUGACCUCAAAUGAUCCGCCUCGGCCUCCCAAAGUGCUGGAAUUACAGGCUUGAGCCACCAUGCCCAGCCAACCCUAUAGCUUUGCUGUAAGUAUGAAAGAGGUAAGUGUUCAUCCUGGGAAGGAACUGUGCAAGUUGGCGCUUCGGGCUUGGUAUAAAAACGGCUCCUGAAUUCCUGCCCAGUUGUAAUUUCCUUGGGGAUUUUGAGAGGGGCUCUUCAACGUUGCCAGGCUAUCACGGCCCUUUUGUUUGCAAGAGAGCAUUCCUGGACAAAACAUCUUCCAGAUUGCGGGUGAAUUUAAACAUCGCAGCUUCUUCUUUCAAUCAUAAUUUUCUGCUUGAGCCAAAAGCUGGAGUGUCCUCUUGCACCUGGAUUCCCCUCUGCCGCGGUUGAAAUGGGAGCGUGUAACUCUUUAUAUGUGAGACGUUUAUGGGCCAGACACUGGCAUUCCAACCCCCUCACCCAGGGCACUUGCUAUAAAAUAUUGAAGGCGAGCAGAGGCUAUCCUUGGAGGGAAUGCUGGUGAUGCCAGGCUCAUAAAAACCAGCCUUUUAAAAAUGAGUCCCUAAUCAGGAAUUGCACGCCCUCUCCCUCUCCAGUGCGCUCUGGCCUGGCAAAGCCCACUUGGGAAAGUAGGUGCUACUGAAAAGAGUCACUAGCCUCUACCUGUGGGACUUCUGUCUCCAGGGUGCUUCCAAAAUCUUUCGGGACUCUGUGUUCAGGACUAGAACUCUUCAUCCACGGGGCUCCAGUGCAACCCCCUCCAACCCCCAUCAGGAUCUGAAGGCAAGGAGGACCAGCGUCCAGGACCCGGUUUCUGCGCCCCCAGGCUCUGUAGAAGUUCUGGGAAGAAGUUCUCAUGGAAGCUGAGGGGAGGGAGACGCACGUCGGCGAACUCUGGGCCUAGCCAAGUUUCUAUAUUUUGAAGGGAGAACCAUGUACCUGCCCUUGGCCUCACCUGAAGACAAACACAGGAGCAAAAUUAAGCAGCGGAGCAACUUUCUGGAAAGGAGCUUAGGGAGAGAAAGCUGGUGCGAAACCGAGUGCGCGCUAGGCGUGUGCACCCGGGGAACAAGGCGUGCCCAGGGGUGUUCGCAGUGGCGGUGGGAUGGAUGCCCGCGCCACCUAUGCGCAGUUAUUUAUAAACUCAUUGUGGGCAUCAGGGUACCCACGACGCCGUUCGUGUCGUUCGUUCCCUUCCUCCUGGAAGGGAAGAGCAAACAAAGCAGUCCUUGGCAACGCUCAACCUCUCUGUGUCAUACAUGUGGUUUUCAGUGUAAAUGAAUUUAGUAAACGCCAAGGCAACAACCCUGUUUACUUGUUUCCGUGUAGAAAGGUUAGCUAACGAACCCGAAGCCAUCCUUCGCGCUUCUCUUUGAUUCCGUCUCAGAUUUACGGGCUUCUCCUCGGCUACACGACUCCAGCCAUCGCCCCCGCUCCCUUGGCCCAGGCAAAGAGAGCCCUAGGCUCCGAUUCCCGCCGCAGCUCAGAGCAAAGCGAUUGCAGGAUUUAUCAACCCCCCUCCCAGGACCUCGGAUUUCAUCUCUUUCUUUUCCCCCUGCAUGUUCAGUUUGUUUUUUCAAGACCUAAGCAAUUUUUAAUGUACUCUAUACUUCCCGCUUAAUCCUCAUCGUUUAUUGUAUAAUUAUAGUUUCAAAGUGAUUAUGUAAUUAAAAUCAUGUUUCGUUGCAGCAGGACUUCAAAAGGGCGGCAGACCCCCGCUCUGGCAUUAUUUUCUAGUGAUGUAAUAAUUUCCCUGUGAUAUUUAAAAUAAACACAUUAGUCCAAGAAUUCUAAACAUGUCUCAAAGUAUAUAGUAGGCUUGAUUGGCACGAGGCUGGGUUGUAAAGAAAUGGUAAAACCUAUCACUAGUUUAAUAUAUUUCUAUGCUCCCAUGCAGGGUAAAUUAUAGGAUAAUGGGGCGCAGGCGAUGGUAAGCUCUGUUUAUAUAAUCCAUUUCUUCACACGAGUUCCCAUUGCUUUCCCUUCCCUUUGCUGUAUGUGGUGGUUCUCUGAUCCCCUGACCUCAGCCAUGUGUUUUCACUUUUUCUUCUGAUCUCAAUUCCAUGACCAGCGGGGAAUAAAAUACAAAUUGAAUAGUAACCAUUCACAGGCCGCUCUUUUCAAACUGUUGUUAAAACCUCUUUGUCUUGUCUAGCGGUUGAUAGAUAAAUGUGUUGUGUUUCGCCUGACUUUUUU
rnacentral:lncRNA from 10 species